CUCUCGCCUACAUUUCAGGCGAGGCAAGGCGCAUCUCAAACAAGCCUAAUGUUUGCCACAAAUCUCAAAUUAGACCACGCCCUCCUGAUCAUCAAUUCGGUCUUAAGAUCGACCUUAAAAUCUUCAAGUGUGUUGCCAGCCUAAAUUUAAGUUUGAAUCGAUCGAAGCUAGUCCAGCGUAAAUGACUCACUCACUCACUCACUCACUCACUCACUCAACUGAAUCAUUUCCUCGCGCAUUCAGCCAUGUGCUCAGCUCCAGUUUGAAGAUGAAGCUGCUUUUACAUCGAAAAUACCCAACACUUAUUCAGCGCACAGAGCCACAGCAUGGAAAAAGAUUUUAACAGUGGAAUCACGACUGCGGACGGCCACCCAUGUCUUACUUCACGCCCUUUGGCCCUGAUCCUGCGAGAUGAGUUUUCCUCACUUGUAAUGGCAGACAGUGAAAUGCAGCAUAGUUUCGGGUGAAACAGUUUCUUCUCACUGAUCCCGGUCUGCAGUGUAUCCUACAAACUGUAUAUUAGAGGCAAGGACAAGGAAAGUAUAUUAUGCUCGUUACUCAGGCCAUUUCCACUAUUUUUUAGUACAUACGAGUUGUCUUGAGCAUUUAUUACUCUGUUAAGAACAGUUAACUUUGUGUGCAUGAUGCAGUACAGCAAUAAAGAGAAU
ensembl:lncRNA